rnacentral:rRNA from 1 species
GACGAACGCUGGCGGCGUGCUUAACACAUGCAAGUCGAACGGUGAAGGGACCGGUUUUUGCUGGUUCUGGAUGAGUGGCGAACGGGUGAGUAACACGUGAGUAACCUGCCCCCUUCUUCUGGAUAACCGCAUGAAAGUGUGGCUAAUACGGGAUAUUCUGCGCCUGCCGCAUGGUGGGUGUGGGAAAGAUAUUGUUUCGGUGGGGGAUGGGCUCGCGGCCUAUCAGCUUGUUGGUGGGGUGAUGGCCUACCAAGGCGGUGACGGGUAGCCGGCCUGAGAGGGUGGACGGUCACACUGGGACUGAGACACGGCCCAGACUCCUACGGGAGGCAGCAGUGGGGAAUAUUGCACAAUGGGCGCAAGCCUGAUGCAGCGACGCCGCGUGAGGGAUGGAGGCCUUCGGGUUGUAAACCUCUUUCGCCAGUGAAGCAGGCCUGUCCCUUUUGUGGGUGGGUUGACGGUAGCUGGAUAAGAAGCGCCGGCUAACUACGUG